rnacentral:rRNA from 1 species
CACGUAGGGCGCAAGCGUUGUCCGGAAUUAUUGGGCGUAAAGGGCGCGUAGGCGGUCAGCACAAGUCAGUUGUGAAAUCUCCGGGCUUAACUCGGAAAGGUCAACUGAUACUGUGCGACUAGAGUGCAGAAGGGGCAACUGGAAUUCUCGGUGUAGCGGUGAAAUGCGUAGAUAUCGAGAGGAACACCUGCGGCGAAGGCGGGUUGCUGGGCUGACACUGACGCUGAUGCGCGAAAGCGUGGGGAGCAAACAGG